GGGCUAUUAGCUCAGCGGGAGAGCGCUCGCUUCACACGCGAGAGGUGGCUGGUUCGACACCAGCAUGGCCCAC
rnacentral:tRNA from 1 species